UGAGGAAUAUUGGUCAAUGGACGAGAGUCUGAACCAGCCAAGUAGCGUGCAGGAAGACGGCCCUAUGGGUUGUAAACUGCUUUUAUAAGGGAAUAAAGUGAGUCUCGUGAGACUUUUUGCAUGUACCUUAUGAAUAAGGACCGGCUAAUUCCGUGCCAGCAGCCGCGGUAAUACGGAAGGUCCGGGCGUUAUCCGGAUUUAUUGGGUUUAAAGGGAGCGUAGGCCGGAGAUUAAGCGUGUUGUGAAAUGUAGACGCUCAACGUCUGCACUGCAGCGCGAACUGGUUUCCUUGAGUACGCACAAAGUGGGCGGAAUUCGUGGUGUAGCGGUGAAAUGCUUAGAUAUCACGAAGAACUCCGAUUGCGAAGGCAGCUCACUGGAGCGCAACUGACGCUGAAGCUCGAAAGUGCGGGUAUCGAACAGG
rnacentral:rRNA from 2 species